UAGUCCACGCCGUAAACGAUGAAUACUAGAUGUAGGAUGUGUAAAAGCAUUCUGUGUCAAAGCAAACGCGAUAAGUAUUCCGCCUGGGGAGUACGGCCGCAAGGCUAAAACUCAAAGGAAUUGACGGGGACCCGCACAAGCAGCGGAGCGUGUGGUUUAAUUCGAUGCAACGCGAAGAACCUUACCUGGGUUUGACAUAUAAGUAGUAGUGAAGCGAAAGCGGAACGACCCUUCGGGGAGCUUAAACAGGUGCUGCAUGGCUGUCGUCAGCUCGUGUCGUGAGAUGUUGGGUUAAGUCCCGCAACGAGCGCAACCCUUGUCUUUAGUUGCCAUCAUUUAGUUGGGCACUCUAGAGAAACUGCCGGUGACAAACCGGAGGAAGGUAAGGAUGACGUCAAGUCAGCAUGCCCCUUACGCUCUGGGCUACACACGUGCUACAAUGGUCGUGACAAAGAGUUGCUAGUCUGCGAAGGCAAGCCAAUCUCAUAAACGCGGCCUUAGUUCGGAUUG
rnacentral:rRNA from 1 species